rnacentral:rRNA from 1 species
AUAGCGUAUAUUAAAGUUGUUGCAGUUAAAAAGCUCGUAGUUGAACCUUGGGCCUGGCUGGCCGGUCCGCCUCACCGCGUGCACUGGUCCGGCCGGGCCUUUCCCACUGGGGAACCGCAUGCCCUUCACUGGGUGUGCCGGGGAACCAGCACUUUUACUUUGAACAAAUUAGAUCGCUUAAAGAAGGCCUAUGCUCGAAUACAUUAGCAUGGAAUAAUAGAAUAGGACGUGUGGUUCUAUUUGUUGGUUUCUAGGACCGCCGUAAUGAUUAAUAGGGACAGUCGGGGGCAUCAGUAUUCAAUUGUCAGAGGUGAAAUUCUUGGAUUUAUUGAAGACUAACUACUGCGAAAGCAUUUGGCAAGGAUGUUUUCAUUAAUCAGGAACGAAAGUUAGGGGGAUCGAAGACGAUCAGAUACC